rnacentral:rRNA from 1 species
UACGUAGGGUGCAAGCGUUGUCCGGAAUUAUUGGGCGUAAAGAGCUCGUAGGCGGUUUGUCGCGUCUGCUGUGAAAACCCGAGGCUCAACCUCGGGCCUGCAGUGGGUACGGGCAGACUAGAGUGGCGGGUAGGGGAGAUUUGGAAUUCCUGGUGUAAGCGGUGAAAUGCGCAGAUAUCAGGAGGAACACCGGUGGCGAAGGCGGGACUCUGGGCCGAUACUGACGCUGAGGAGCGAAAGCGUGGGGAGCAAACAGG